GCUGGGGGUGGUGGCACACUCCUGUAAUCCCAGCUACUUAGGAGGCUGAGGCAGGAGAAUUGCUUGAACCCAGGAGGUGGAGGUUGCAGUGAGCCGAGAUUGUGCCACUGCACUCCAGCCUGAGUGAUAGAGCAAGACUCUGUCUCAA
rnacentral:sRNA from 1 species